ACAAUUCAGUUUAGGCAACCCGCUUGAGUCUGUCUCUUUCUUAUUUUCUGUUUUCCAUCUUGAGUACUCCAGUAUUCAAGGAGCCUUCUGACUGUAGAGUUGAAAGACUCAGAUAUGAAAUAUGAAGGAAUCCACUGAGAAUUCAGGGUAAAAGUCACUCAACUGAAGCAUAGGGGUUACUCAAGAAGCAUAAAUUCAUUCCAGAUGCCAUUUUUUGCUGUUAAUACUUCCCUCAAGAGACUUGUUUAUACUCAUGCCACUGUGAUCCAACGGGAACUAACUCAGUACAACCCAUAUAUCCUUCAAAGACUGAAAG